rnacentral:lncRNA from 1 species
UCAACACCAAAAUGUCCAGCAAGAUGUCUAGUUUAAGCAUACCAAAUUUCAAAGGCAUUGGAUUAAAUCUCAUCAUUUCACAAAGCAAAUGGCAAGCAAGGUCAAGAAAACACAUGCAUACACAAACCCUAAGCCAAAAUAUUUUUCAACCGUGCACAAUUUCAGGAAAAAUAGCCAAAAAAUACUAGAUAUGAUGAGGAGAACAAUGCAAAAAUUCCCAGGUCAUUUGGAUGAUUAUUUAUGGAGUUAUGAAUUUUCAAAGUGCAGAAAAAAA